rnacentral:rRNA from 1 species
GACGUAGGGCGCGAGCGUUGUCCGGAUUUAUUGGGCGUAAAGAGCUCGUAGGCGGCUUGUCGCGUCGAAUGUGAAAUCUCAGGGCUCAACUCUGACAUUGCAUUCGAUACGGGCAGGCUCGAGUUCGGUAGGGGAGACUGGAAUUCCUGGUGUAGCGGUGAAAUGCGCAGAUAUCAGGAGGAACACCGGUGGCGAAGGCGGGUCUCUGGGCCGAUACUGACGCUGAGGAGCAAAAGCGUGGGGAGCGAACAGG